rnacentral:rRNA from 1 species
CGAGCAGGGUCGAAAGACGGACUUAGUGAUCCGGUGGUUCCGCAUGGAAGGGCCAUCGCUCAACGGAUAAAAGCUACCCCGGGGAUAACAGGCUUAUCUCCCCCAAGAGUUCACAUCGACGGGGAGGUUUGGCACCUCGAUGUCGGCUCAUCGCAUCCUGGGGCUGUAGUCGGUCCCAAGGGUUGGGCUGUUCGCCCAUUAAAGCGGUACGCGAGCUGGGUUCAGAACGUCGUGAGACAGUUCGGUCCCUAUCCGUCGUGGGCGUAGGAAAUUUGAGAGGAGCUGUCCUUAGUACGAGAGGACCGGGAUGGACAUACCUCUGGUGUACCAGUUGUCGUGCCAACGGCAUAGCUGGGUAGCUAUGUGUGGACGGGAUAAGUGCUGAAAGCAUCUAAGCAUGAAGCCCCCCUCAAGAUGAGAUUUCCCAACUUCGGUUAUAAGAUCCCUCAAAGAUGAUGAGGUUAAUAGGUUCGAGGUGGAAGCAUGGUGACAUGUGGAGCUGACGAAUACUAA